CAGGUUUCCUGAACACUCUCCCUGUCUUCCAUUGUUUGGAAAACGUAUAGCCCUGACCAUGUGUUGCUGUAUUUGGCUCAUCAGGAUGCAGAACAAUGUUUUGAUAGCACCACAAGGCCAAGGUGGAUCAACCAUAUGGACAUGCACACUCAAUGACAAAGGCGGAUACCAACAGGUCCUCUCUGACACAAAGCGCCGAGGGGCUGAGGGAGGCGGGCGAGACGAGGGGUGCAUCUUAACCUGAGACGUCCCUCACACAAGAGGAGUGCAAUGGAGUAACUACUGUAGCAGAGGGCAAAUGAAGUUCAGCUGAGGUGAAGGGGUGAGACAACGUCAAAGAAGGAACAACGGAGAGAGAUCGAGAGACGUUGUCUAAUGAAGGAAUGCACAGAGAGAUGGAAACUAAUGGAGACAAAGGAUGUACAGAGUGCGAAGGAGAGGGAGAGAGAUGGCGAUGGGGUGGCUGACUGCUGUGUAACUCAUCCUCAUCUUAAUUGAUGAGGUCAUCCUGGGGAUAUCCCAAAACUAGAGUGUCCCCUGGAGGUCAUCACCAGGUCAUCCAAAAGUCAAAGUGCAUCGGAGAGAGAUGACAUAGCAUAUAACUUUUCUUUUGUGUUUCUGUUGUCGUUGUUGUUUUUGUUUGUUUAUGGGCUUUUUGCCUUUAAUUGUAAGGAUAGUGUAGACUAGGCAGAAAAGUGGAGAGAGAGCAAAUGGGACAAAAGAUAUUUAUGUUCCUAAUUUAUAUGUGCAUUACCAACUG